UAGGGAAUCUUCCGCAAUGGACGCAAGUCUGACGGAGCAACGCCGCGUGAGUGAAGAAGGAUUUCGGUUCGUAAAACUCUGUUGUUAGAGAAGAACAGCGCAUAGAGUAACUGUUAUGCGUGUGACGGUAUCUAACCAGAAAGCCACGGCUAACUACGUGCCAGCAGCCGCGGUAAUACGUAGGUGGCAAGCGUUGUCCGGAUUUAUUGGGCGUAAAGCGAGCGCAGGCGGUCAAUUAAGUCUGAUGUGAAAGCCCCCGGCUCAACCGGGGAGGGUCAUUGGAAACUGGUUGACUUGGGUGCGGAAGACGAGAGUGGAAUUCGGUGUGUAGCGAUGAAAUGCGUAGAUAUAUGAAGGAACACCAGUGGCGAAGGCGACUCUCUAGUCUGUAACUAACGCUAAUGUGCGAAAGCGUGGGGAUCAAACAGG
rnacentral:rRNA from 1 species